rnacentral:tRNA from 1 species
GGAAGCGUGGCAGAGUGGUCUAAUGCAACGGUCUCGAAAACCGUCUGGGCGCAAGCCCUCGGGGGUUCGAAUCCCCCCGCUUCCGCCA